rnacentral:rRNA from 1 species
AACGAACGCUGGCGGCAUGCCUAACACAUGCAAGUCGAACGAGACCUUCGGGUCUAGUGGCGCACGGGUGCGUAACGCGUGGGAACCUUCCCUUAGGUUCGGAAUAACUCCCCGAAAGGGGUGCUAAUACCGGAUAAUGUCUUCGGACCAAAGAUUUAUCGCCUUUGGAUGGGCCCGCGUUGGAUUAGCUAGUUGGUAGGGUAAAAGCCUACCAAGGCGACGAUCCAUAGCUGGUCUGAGAGGAUGAUCAGCCACACUGGGACUGAGACACGGCCCAGACUCCUACGGGAGGCAGCAGUGGGGAAUAUUGGACAAUGGGCGAAAGCAUGAUCCAGCAAUGCCGCGUGAGUGAUGAAGGCCUUAGGGUUGUAAAGCUCUUUUACCCGGGAUGAUAAUGACAGUACCGGGAGAAUAAGCUCCGGCUAACUCCGUG